AUGCCGGAUUACGCCGCUCCCCCGGAGGACCAGGCGCUGGAGCUGGGCCCCAGGCAGCCCCUCUACGCCGCGUUCUACCUCGCGCUCCUCGUCGCCUGGGUCCCCACCAAGGUGCGCGCCGUCGCCAGCUGGCUAUCCAGGGGCCCGCGCCCGCGCCCGCCCCGUCCUCCGGUUCCGGUGGCGGACGGACGCGGUCCGGUCCGGGGGAUUGGGAUUCCUCCCCGCCGCAUCCUGAGCCUCGUGGAACUGGAACUGGAUCCGGCACAGGUGGCCGCGGUGACCGCGGCCCUUGUCGGGGCCUUCUCCAUCGUGCAGCGCCGAGCCGACGCCUCCGCCUCCGAGUCUGAGUCCGACUCCGACUCCGACUCCCAUGCGAGCGGCCACCACAGCGAUGUGCACCACCGGUACCCGCCCAUCCACUCGCUGGAAGCGGGGGAUGGCCGCCUCUUCUUGCCGGCCUCCGAUCCUCGUCGACAGGGCGACAGACUGUGCAGACUGUCGGAUGUACAGGAGAACCCAUGGAUCAUCACGGCAAGCACAGAAAGGUUUGCAGAUCCUUGUGAGUUGACCGAUGAAACAACAAGGACUUGGGUCAUGAGGCUCAAAACUACUACCAAACUUGUUUGUUUAAGUAAGCAGCAAUUACAUGAGCAGAAUCAGGAAUUGGCUGAGGAACGCUUUGCAGUGGUAUCCGAGCAAUCUUUAGAGCUCAUCCUUGAGGUUGCAUGCUCAUUCUGUGACGCAAGAUGGUCUCGUGUCCACAUUUUGCAACAGCUGACUGUUUUUGACGCGCUUGUUGAUGUCCUGUUCAAUAUAAAAGACCUGCAUUUCAGCAGAUCUGGUGAGGUUGCUGGCAUUAUUAAUAAGAUGGUGAAUGCUUUCAAAGGUGUGAUUCAGAGGACCUCAAAUGACAUCCGUGGCAGCAAAGAAUCCACCAUCCACCCAGCAACUUUGGUCCUCGUACAAGUCCUGGAAUUCUUCUGGCGUAACGGAGAUAUGGUGCAGUCAAUCCUUGAAUCUGGAGAUUACAACACUGGCCCGUGCUCUGACAUGCUUGAUUGUCUGGUAUCCAAGCUCAAGGAAUGUUCAGAAAUGAUUUUCCAGGAAAAGGGACAAAGGUGCAUAUUCUUUCUGAAUAACCUAAUUUAUGUUCUGCAAAAGGAGUGCCAUUCAGGGUUACUCCCUCGCAAUGCAGUGAGUGAUUUAAAUUCACUGAUUGACCAGAGCAUCAAGAGCUACCUUGAAGAAUACUGGGUUGCGCUCGUGAGAUGUUUAUGCUUGGAUGGGGACUCUCUGACUCUGAGGAAGCCGCGCCGUUCGUCCUUGGAUAAAUUUACUGAAGAGUUCUGCACUAUCUAUGACAGCCAGAGGACUUGGAAAGUUCAGCCUUGGCUUAAGGCAAGACUGCGUGAACAGAUAGUGGAACUGGUUGUUCCAGAAUAUGAGAAGUUCUUGAUGGCGCUUCAGGAGAAUCCAGGUUCUUGGUUGACGAGGAUGCGCCGAGCCAGAUCUGAGAAACCGAUACACACUGCUGAGCGGCUGGGACAGCUGAUUCGUGAACUCUUUGAAAGAUAG
rnacentral:rRNA from 1 species